rnacentral:lncRNA from 1 species
UCACGAGCUUGUAAGCAACCGUGGUUAGCUGUGUGAUGGACGUGCCGGAGUCUAUGAUCACUCCGCCAGUCCCGAUUUGCUGCAGCGCGAAUGCCGACUUCGGUAUCGGUAGACGGGUCGUGCCGACCGUUAUACCGUCGAGAGAGAGGUAAUAGAAGGUUGGCCGUGAAGGAUUCAUAAUGAACGGAGUCGACCGGAAGUUAGUAGAGCUGCCGUUUAGAUUGGCAGCUGAUCCUAACAUGAGUGCGCUGCUCUUCGAAUCGUCGUCAUCGUAGGAAAUGAAGCAGUAAGAGAACUUUCCGACUCCUAACUGAGAGAUGAGAGACAAGGGCCCGCGACCGAAGCCGGCAAUCCCGGAUUCGUUGUUGAAGAUGCCCCCGUUGAGAAACCCACAGCCGAACCCGAGGUUUGGGACCGUGACGUUGUUAGCGGACCCGAAGGUGAAGGCCUCGCUGGCGAGAGUGCCGACGGUGGUUGAGUUGUCGCCGUAACUGUAAAGAUAGAGGCAUUGUGCGUGGCAGGCGGAUAGUGGAAGAGCCUGGCAGAGCUUGCUGGAGCAGGCGAGCCGCGAGUAGGUGGAUGACUGUGAAGGAUCGUACAAAGGAAAGCUCUGGUCGAAGCACGAGAGGCAGGGCUGGCACUGCGUCCAGACGAGAUCGCUACCAGUGUCAAGGAUGAGCAGAAGAGGCUGUGCCGGCGUGCCGAUGGAAACUCCGAUGGUGUACUCACCGGCAUUCGGCGAGACAGGCACGUCAGUUGUGGAUAUCGAAUUGGCGGAACCCCCCGCGGCCUUGGGCGCGAGCAUCGCGCCCCGGGCCCUGCUUCGGAGCGCCAUGCGCUGCAGGAGCUCGAAUUUGGUGAAGUUCCGGCCCGCGUCGACGUGGGUCAGGUCCACGCGCAGACGGUCGAAGGCAGAAAUGGCCGGAGGGACUAGCGAGACGAGGAGGAGCACCAGAAUCGGCAGCAUAUGUUCAGAGGGCUUAACAGCAUACAUGCUGUGGUCUGAGAUGCAGAGACUUAUGUUUUGCGAAGCUUACACUUGUUUGGAGGAAUGUUUAUAUAGUGGGGGAUUUAGCAAGAAUGAGUCUCCUUUAUGGCGAAUAUUGUUGAAUUAUUUAGUGGUGAACUUUUCUUGGUCUAAUACAGGGACUUGCUUUACGCGCUAUUGUAUAUAUUUCCAAAUUUUGGGUCUCAAUCGCCCUAUAUAUUUCCAAAUUUUGGGUCUCAAUCGCCCUAGUGAAGAGGAUUAGCACGAACACAUUAUACAUAUCUUGACACGGCAAAAUUAUGCGUGGCUAUUAUUUUUUUCGUUUAUUUUAUUUAAAGGGAUAAUUACUUAUAUACCCUUCAUGCGUCUAGAUUGGUUACUAUAUGCAGUUUUUCCUUUCUAUUAUGCCUGAUUAGUCCUAGUGAGAAAGUCGGUGAUGUUGGGGCCGAACCCACUGGGAACUUUGUUGUAAUUCUCACCCCACUAUUUUCACAGAGCCGGGACCGAGCGAGCCCGCGAGCGACCGCGGUAAAGGUAUCGCGCCUUAGUCAAAAGCCACCCCAGUCAGGCUUGUAUUUUGUUAGUAGUUACCCUUUUAUCAUCUUUUGUACUAGAUGAUUAAUGAUGUAAAGAAAAGAAGUAAAGCUCUCUUUUAAGGUAAAUGUGAUGUAAUAAAAAAAUGAUGUAAUAAAAUGUAAGGAAUUUGAAAAUGUACAAGUUGGACUUGAUGUAUAUGAUAUAAAUUGAAUCAUAGUACAAGUGAAUGUUUAGUUUCCUUUCUUUCACUCAUGAUUAUUGCCUACCCUCGUAUAAGCCGUAUUUGUAUGUUUCCGCUAGUGCACUUCUUGUUUGAAAUUGUACAUGUGAUGAGCCUUGGGCGGACAGAAGAAACUCUAUCUGUUCGGCGUCUGUUUGACGUGCUCGGGCUAGCCCAAAUCGGUAUCAGUCCCAGGGCGUGACAUUCACGUUUUAUCAAGUUCUUAUAGUCUAGGUCAUGUUUAAUUACGCUGAUCGUCGAUUUAGAAACCCUUUCACCGAAAAAAAUGCCUAUACCUUCUUAUUUGUGAGUCGAAGUGCAUGCCCAAGCUUAUAUACCAUUUCGAAGGUGCGGAUAUGGACGUACUGCGAGAUAAUUACGUGGUUGAUUUAGACAAAGGCGGUGGAUUAAUGUGCUUAAUUGCACCAAAGUCGAAGUGGAGUGAUGUUUCUAUAGUAGGGAACAUACAGCAGCAAAAUGUGUGGAUGGAAUAUGAUUUGGAGAAGAACGAGUUGGGGUUUGCUCAUGCUCAAUGUGAUCAGCUGCGACUUUUUUUUUUUAUUAUUUGAGAAAUAGAUAGCAAGCUGCCUACUUCAUUCAUUAACCUAAAUGAACUGAGCGUAUAUGUUGGAAGCAGCUAGGGCUUCCGAAAGAACAAGCUAAAGGGGCAAAAAAAAUAGGCGAAAGAACAGACUAAAGCCGAGAAACAGAGACGAAAAGAAAAGCAAAGUAAAAAGGGAAAGAAAGUACAUCAUGUCAGAGCACUGCAGCCCAGUUACUCGUGAGGUGUUUGACGUAAUCUAGCGACCGGGAAGCGUUGCGUAACAUUCCACCAAAGAUAGUUCCUAUCCCUUCAGACCACCCAUCAGAUUGCCGCCAGAUAAGUCAAGCCUUGUGACCUCUUCCACUCGACAGGGCUGGGAUCAGCUGUGACUUAGUUUGGUUUCUAAAUGGUAGCAUUAGCUUUAAUUUGAUACUAAUAUAUGUAGAGGUGAUUUAUGUUUGUAUUAGUGAAGGGAAAAGGAUUAUAACUUUUUAGUGAUCCCGUACUAUUUGGGGAUUAUCUUUUAGAAAUGGAGUAAUGCUUCAUGCACGGUUCUAAAAAAGUUUGUUAUUGUUAAUGAGUUAUGUGUAGAAAUAAAUAAAAUAAAUUUCUUUUAUAUUUUGUCACUAUACUUGCACAUUUUACUUAUAAUUUUAAACAGAAACUAAAAUGGUAUAUAUUCUGAACGUAUUACUUGGGACUAUAUAUAGUUUGAUGAAAUAACACUAAACUCUAUAGCUGAAUCAAAAUGCUCGACGUUGUUCGGAUAAAAAAAUAAAAUAAAAUAAAAUANCAAAAAAAAAAGAAAAAGAAGAAGAAGAGAGGGCUUGUAAAAAGAAGAAAUAAUAAUAAUAAAAAAUUUCACCUUUUUUCUGCUCGUAUAAACACACACAGCGAAAGGUGGGGGGCACUUUGUUCGAAUUUAAAAAAAAAAGAAUAAAAUUACAUUCAACUUUUCUUCCUUUCUUCAAAAAAAAAAAAAAAUCCCUCUUGUUUCCAAAAAAAAGGGAAAGAAAAAAAGAAUUACCAAAAAAAAAGGGAACGAAAAACAAAGGAAAGAAAAAAAAAGAAAAGAAUAAAAAAUAAAAAAAAAAGAAGAGAGAAAGGAAAAGAAGAGAGAAAAGAAAAGAAAGCAAAAAAUAAAAGAAGGAAAGAAAAAAAAAGUUUUUGUUAUUUCAAAAUAAAUAAAAAAAGGAAAGAUAUCUAAGAGUAGUAUUAAAUACUUAAAUUUCUUAUAAGAUGUAAGGAAUAAUAAAAUUUCCUUUGUAGAGAUUUAUUUUGAAUUUUUUCUAAAAAUAAUAACGAUUUUUGAAUCCCUGUAAAUUGGAUUCAAGAUGUAAGUAACAAAAAAAAUUUUGAGUUUUUGCAAGAAGGAAAAAAAGAGAGCUUGAGAAAAACAGUAAAAAAAAAGAGAGAGAAGAAGGACAAAAAGAAAGAAAGGUAAAAAAAAAAAAAAAUUUCUCUUUUCUCCGCGCGUAAAAAAAUUUGUUUCUCUUUUCUCCACGCGUGCACACAGGUCUUCACCCUCUGCCCUCCUCUGUAGGCCGGCAGCAAAAAAAAAAAAGUAAGGCUUAGCUCUUUCAUUUUUGUGGCGGCGCGGCAACGAUGACUUCGACGACGGCAUGACAACGACGAUUUCGACAACGCGCAAAGAGGCCAUAGGGCCUCUUUUCUUUUUUUUCUUUUCUACGAUGGUGAUAGAUUUAUUUAUUCGUGAAAACGGUGUAGUCGCAAUUUUUAUGUCGGUUUGAUCAGCACGACCGUCUUCGUAAUAGGUUGACCCGAUCAAAUUCGGCAUUGAAUCGUUACUAUAUCAUGCGCGCGUAUUUAUUAAGCCCGUCUCCUCAACAGACAUAAGCAAUCGAGCUUUGGAACUUCUACUAACCAAAAUGCAGCAUUACUGUUAUUGUUUUUUUUUUGGAAAAAUGAUUAAGUACUAAAGGAAAAUUAAUAAAGAUAAAUGCAGGAUUUUUGACGACCUAUGCCAAUUAGUGAAUUUCACAUCAAUCAGUUACUGGAAGAAUCAAUGUAAUUGUUUUAUUAUCUGAGGUGGUGACAUCUAUACUCUUAUAUGAAUCCCCAAUAUCAAAUGAUGAUGUGGCAAGCUCUCAUUUUUUCAUUUUUUUAAUUAUUUUAUUUUAUAUUUUAAUUAUUUCUUUCUCAUCUUCUUUAACAUCUAACUCUUUAACUUCCAAUAACAUCACCUUCCAAAAGUUCUAACUCUUCUUCUCUUCUUUAUCGUUCACCUCUUUACCUUCCAAUAACCCCACUUCUCUCUCUUUAUUAUUGUAUUUAAUUAAUAAUUAAUUUUUUCUUCCCCCCAUGUCUCCAUUAAUCUCUUCGUUCUUCAACUCUUGCUAAAUCCCUUUCAUCCUCUCCCUCUCCCGUAAAAGUCGCUCGCUUUCAUCACUGUAGCAUCGCGUCAAGUUCAUAGAAUCCAUAGAUUCCGUCGUGUAUUUGGUGGGGAUGGCAGUGGUGGUAGAAGAUGAAGAUCUUGGAUGCGGCGGCAGCGGUAGCGACAACAGAAGUGGAAGAGAGUAUAUGGAUAUAUAGUCAACUUACUAUUGAUAGUAUAUAUAUAUGGUGAUAAUCAAGUAAUCAGGAAUUUUUUGUAUUUUACUUUUUCUUUAAUGUUUUUUUUUUCAACUACCCUAUCUAUUAGCUUUUUUCAAUUUAUUUUAUAGUUAUUUAGAUGUAUGUAAAAUUGUUAAACAAUAAGCUGAUAGAAAAUAUAUUUUUUUAUAGGAUUUGUUUCUAGAAUUAGAUGUUCUUUUAAAGGAUUUGCAUGUAUGUUAUAAAUAAUUGCUUACCCCAAUUUACAAUUUUAUAUAUACACUGAAUAAUUUUAAAAAAUUUACUAUUAGACAAUUAAAAUCUAAUUCAACAAAUACAAUUUAAAUCAUAUUAAAGUUUAUAUAUGAAAAUUUUAUAGCACCUUGAGCUAAUUUUAUUUAAAUUAUUUUUAUUUAAAUUAAUUGAAUUAUUAAUCUUUGACUAAUAAUUUUUAUUAAAUUAUUAUUGUCACUCAUGUUAUUUUACGCCUCUCUUUUAUCUCUUUUUUUUUUUCUUUCUCUUCAUCUCACUCACUGUAUUUUGUUUUUUGAUAUAUGUACAAUUUAAACUACUCAUCAAAUAACAACAAUAAUAAAAAAUCCACUUCGAAAUAUUUGUCCGCCUGCAUCGUGCGGAUAACUACACUAAGUAUCAACUUAUUACAUAAUUAAUACCUCGACUGAGCUAUUUACAUAUAACUUAUAAUAAUUAUUGUUGGGAAUCGGUCUCGCCCGUACCGGAUCUUGUGAAUCCGCAACGCAUGCUCUAUACCGACUGCUGUGGAUUUCGUAACCGAUUGUUGAUCCGCAACGGAAGCGCCGAAUCAGGUUUUUAGCAUAAACCCGUCUCACUCAGCAGCAUGCGAUAAAUCAUAAAAAGAAAAAUAUGCAGGAAAAUAAAGAUUCAUUAAAUAAGAGAAAUUACCCGAGACUUCUCUUUCUGCAUCAGAGUAGCCUACAACCGAGGCCCUCUCUCUGAAUCUUACCAUACCCUUCCUCUCGUCUUCUAUACUCCGCAGAAGACAUCUCUUAUCAUUCCUGUGGCAUCCAUGCACAAGUAUACCAAUGACUUCCACGCUCUACGAAAGCCGCACACGCCUCGCUUGCAUCCAUCACUAGGUGCAACAAAAUCAUGACACAUAUUGGCCCAUCGCAUAAUAGGGUGUGGCUCAUCAGACCACCACCCACCAACGAAACCUGCAUAGCAACAUAUGCUAAUAAUUUAUUAGGUUACAUCAAAGACCAAAUAUCCUAGUAUAAAUUAGGAUUUCUACUCCGAUAAACUAUUAUAUCCUAUGAAUUUGUUUUAAUCUCCAAUAAUUUAAAUAUUUAUCUAAUACUAGUUAGAUUUAACUCUCUAAUUAAUGAUUUAAAUCUAAAUUGAUCUCAAACAGAUUAUAAAUUACAUUAUUAUCGCAACAUAGGAUUCAAUGUACAAAAUCUAACCACCUAACAAUCUCCACUUGUUAUGAUUUUAAUCUUCAAAACCUCACGUCGAGCUCACCAUGCGCAAGCUCUACUUCGCGCAUUGUCUCUCCCGCGUGUCUGCUGCGUCAUCCGCCGCUCCCACCUCGAGCAGCGUACACUCUCGCACGAACUUUGGAAUCCAAACACGUGCUUCGCCGCAGUUCUGGCUGAAAAAAAAAAAAACGGUUCAGAACGUAUAUCUUCACGCUUGUAUCGCUCGCGAUCCACGACCAGAAUCGUCGUUUUCGGACCCCUCAUACUCCCACCUGAUACUAAAUUAUCGCAACCCUCGAGCCAACGCCGCUAAAAGAGAUCAAAUGUCACUUUAAACAUCGAUCCUUUGAACGAUCGUAACCGUGCUCUGACAUGAUCUUUGCUCCAAAGAUCGUUAAGCUUUGCUCUGAUACUACUUGUUGUGAAUCCCGGUACUCCCCCGGUACCGGAUCUCUGUGAAUCCGCAACCUCGCUCUGGAUAGUCCGACUGCUGUGGAUCGGUACCGAUUGUUGGGAUCCGCACGAAGCGUCGAAUCAGGUUUUUACCAAUAAUCCGGGUCUCCUCAGGCAGAUGCUGAUACAAUCAUGUAAAAGAGAAAAAUAUGCCAGGUAUAAUAAGAUUCCAUUAAAUAAGAGAAAUUAGCACCAACUUCAUGCUUCUGCAAGCUAGAAGUAGCUACAACAACCAGCCCUCUGCUCUGAAUUCUCUUCCUACCCUUCCUCUCGUCUUUCUAUAUCCCAGAAGACAUUCUUUAUCCGUGCAUCCAAUGCACAAGAUAUCCAAUGAACCACGCUACGAAAGCCGCAUGCAACGUUCUUUGCAUCCAUCACUAGGUCAUACCAAACUAUGACCAUAAUUGGCCAUCGCCAUAUAGGUGCUGUGCUAAUCAUCCAACACCGACACCGAAACAAUAGCACAUAUGCUAUAGUUAUCAGCUUACACUCAAAAGCUACCUCAAAUCCUAGUAUAAUUAGAUUCUACCUCCGAUAAAUAUUUAUAUCUAUAUUAUGUUAUUCUCAAUAAGAUUUAAAUAUUUAACCUCCUAAUUAGUUAGGAUUUAUAACUUAAUUAAUAUUUAAAUCUUAAUUUAUCUCAAAGAGUUUAAAUAUUAGAUUGAUUAUCCAAUAAUAGGAUUCAAUUACAAAUCUAACCAAAUCUAACCAUUAAGAUAAUCUCGACAGAGCUAAUUCGUUGAUUCGUAUGAAAUACAGGAAACCUUCAAAUUGAAACAUCUCACAUCAUUAAUUAGAUACACAGCUGAUUCGCACCGCGAGGGCAAAAGAUAACUCUGAUUGUCCAGAUCGGUUAGACUACUGCAUAUCACUGCUCGAAAAUUACCAAUUAUAGAGCUUCCGACUGCUCGGAAUCGAACAAGCCAAGCAACAGUUAUAACCCAUGUAGAAUCCUGAGCGAUGUAGUUUCGAGCGGCAUGGUCCAUAUCGCCGGCCUUCAAAGUGGAAUAUCAGCUUCGGCACGUCCACCUUUGCUGAUGGAGACGACGGCAGCGAGAAGCAAAGGUCGAAGCCCUCCGCGGUGCCGUUAGCCACGGGCAGCUUCACCUGCGACAAGAAGGCGCUCCUCACGAGCUUGUAAGCAACCGUGGUUAGCUGCGUGAAGGACGUGCCGGAGUCUAUGAUCACUCCGCCCGUCCCGUUUUGCUGCAGCGCGAAUGCCGACUUCGGUAUCGGGAGACGGGUCGUGCCGACCGUUAUACCAUCGAAAGAGAGGUAAUAGAAGGUUGGCUGUGAAGGAUUCAGAACGAACGGAGUCGACCGGACCGUAGUAGCAUUGCCGUUUAGACCGGCAGCUGAUCCUAACAUAAGUGUGCUGCUCUUCGAAUUGUUGCCGUAGGAAGUGAAGCAGUAUCCGAACUUUCCGGCUCCUAACUGAGAGAUGAGAGACAAGGGCCCACGACCGAAGCCUGCGAUCCCGAAUUCGUUGUAGAAGCUGACUUGGUUUAGAAACCCACAGCCGAAUCCGAGGUGCGGGACCGUGAUGUUUUUAGUGGUCGACCCGAAGGUGAAGGCCUCGCUGGUGAGAGUGCCGACGGUGGUUGAGCUGUCGGCGUAACCGUAAAGAUAGAGGCAUUGUGCGUGGCAGGCGGAUAGAGGAAGAGCCUGGCAGAGCUUGCUGGAGCAGGGAAGCGGCGAAUAAGUGGCUGACUGUGAAGGAUCGUACAAAGGAAAGCUCUGGUUGAUGCACGAGAGGCAGGGCUGGCACUGAGUCCAGAUGAGAUCACUGCCAGUGUCAAGGUUGAGCAGGAGAGGCUGUGGCGGCGUGCCGAUGGAAACUCCGAUGGUGUACUCGCCAGCAUUUGGCAAGACAGGCACGUCAGUUGUGGAUAUCGAAUUGGUGGAACCCCCCGCGGCCUUGGACGCGAGCAUCGCACUCCGGGCCCUGCUUCGGAGCGCCAUGCGCUGCAGGAGCUCGAAUUUGGUUAUGUUCCGGCCCGUGUCGAUGUGGGUCAGGUCCAUGCGAACACCGUCGAAGGCAGAAAUGGCUGGAGGGAUUAGAAAGACAAGGAGAAGCACCAGAAUCGGCAGCAUAUUGUCAGAGAACUUAACAGCAUACAUGUUGUGGUCUGAGAUACAGAGACUUAUGUUUUGGGGAGAUAAUAUUUGUUAGGAUGUAUGUUUAUAAUUUAUAUAGGGGGAUUUAGCAAGAAUGAGUCUCUGUGAUAGCAGAUAUUGUUGUAUUUUUUACUGUGUUUAACUUUUCUCGGUAUCAUAGAAGGACUCAGUUAACGCGCUCUUUUAUACAUUUCAAACAAUGCCCUUUCAAUAUCUUGACACGGCAAAAUCAUGCGUGCGUUUUGCUUGUAGCAAAAUUAUGUAACAAAAUAAGAUUAAAUUCAACUUGGACACUACACAUAUUUUCCGAGUGAAAGUACCUAGCUAUUUUGGUGGACCAUUUGGAAGUUUAGGAAUGAUUUUAUCUUUUGAAACGUCCAUUUCGAUCAUGUUUUGGUUGUACAACGGAUUAAGCAGCUUCUGAAGCCUUGGGAAUCCCUCCUAUGACCGGUCCUUUAGUUUUUUCUCUUUUUUUUUUUUUUUUUUGAUUGUUGUAUCAUUCUUAGAGGCCCGGGUUGCCUCACUCCUGUAGUCUAAUUCGUAUAUUUAAUAAAUAAAGCAGAUAGCUUGUUACCUUUUCUCAAAAGAAAGUGCCUAAUUAUUAGCUAGGAGAGACUUGUCACUAAACAAAGGCCUCCAUUCGCACACAAGUAAAAUAACAAAUUUUUAAAAAAAUAUUAUUUUAAUAUAAAACUAUUAUAUUAUUUAUGAUUAGAAUUUUUUAUUAUCAUAUGCGGUACGGUAAAAUUUAGAUGUAUAUUUUGUUUAUACUAGAGCAUAAAAGAAUUGUCUAAAUUUUUUUGGUAGAAUAGAUAUAAUAUUUACACCUAAAAAUUAGGGGUAUACUUUGCAUUUCUUUAAAUAUGAUGAUAAUGGAGUUCUAGAAGCAGAGGUUGACCCAGCAUAAUUGUAUUAUGGAAACAAAAAAUUGAAAAAAAGUAGGAUGAACGAGCUUAAUUGGACCAUCUUGUCUGCUUUUACAACGACUAGCUUUUGGCCUAGCUUUUAACAAGCUCUUUUGAAUUGAAAAGUGAUUUUCGGCUCAAUAAAGCGUUCGGCAAUCUCACUUUUAAAAUUUGAUUCUAUUUUUUAGAAUCAGAAAACUGAUUUUUAAGAUCCCAAAAUCAGAAAUAGAAAAAAACUGCUUCUUAAAAUCUAAUUCUGAUUUUGGACACAAACUUCAAAUUUUUAUUUUAAUUUUAAAUUCAAUAUUUAAAUCUAAAUUUAAUUUUAAAUUUUAAUUUUCAGAUUCAUUUUUAAUUUUUAAAUUUUGAAAAAUAGAUUUCAAACUUUAAAUUUUAAAUUUUAAUUUUAAAUUUCAAAUCUCAAAUUUUAGAUUUUAAAAUUUUAAAUUUCAAAUUUCAAAUUUAAUAUAAAUUUAAAAUUUUAACAUUUUAUAUUUUAAAAUUUAAAAUUUAAAAUUUAAAUAUAAAUUUGAUAAAAGUAAAAUAAAAAUUUUAAAGUUGAGUUCAAAGUUAGAAUUAGAUUUUAAAAAGUAGCUUCUAAGCUACUCNUAAAUAUUAAUAUUUUAUAUUUUAAAUUUCAUAAUUAUUUAUAUUUUUAAAUUUUAUUUUUAAUUUUUAAUUUUAAAUUUCAAAUUUACUUUUAAAUUUUAAAUUUCAUUAUUAUUUAUAUUUUAAAUUUAUAUUUAUAUUUUUAAAUUUGAAAUUUCAUAUUUAUUUUAAUUUCUAAAUUUUUAAAAUUUUAAAUUAUUUUUUAAAUUAAAAUAUCAAAUUUUAAAUUUUGUACAAUUUUGAAAUUUAAAAAUUUUAAUUUUGAUUCAAUUUAAAUUUAGAUUUUAAAUUAUUUUAAAAUAAAAUUUAGUAAAAAUAUUAAUUUAUGCAAACAUCAAAAAAAUUUACCAAACAGUUUUUUAAAAUCAUUUUAGAAAAAUCGCUUUUAUCUAAACUCAACCAAACGUUCUACAGCUUUUAACCAAAAUUAUUUCUCCAAACCAAAAUUAUUUUUUUAGAAAUCACUUUUUCACAAGCUAGGCCAAACGGGCCCUAUAUCAGGUAUGUCAGAUUUUUCCAUUAAUUUGUAACUGAACUUAUCACACACCGACAUGAAUUUUAUGAGAUAUCGUAUUCUAAUCAUUGUUUAAGUCGAGACUAUGUGCUGUUAAAAUAUAGCUAUCUCAAAUAAGGGACCAGAAACACCAUCAGAAAUUGAAAUGAGUGGUGGGAAGCAAAUGUCCAGCAACAAAUAGGGUCCUCAAAAGCACUACAACCACUCCUUGAGCAACUCUUUUGUGCCGACACUCUAGAGACUGUGGACCACCUGUUGGUGGAAUGUGUCGUUAGUAGAUUUUCUUUUAUUUCACUCCUUGAUGCCCCUCAUGCUUUUACCUCCAUGGAGGAUGUCAAUACUGUUUGGGAGGCGCUGGCAGGGAAGGGGGCGCAGUGCAACACCGCACUGACCCCGAUUCUUGUGACGGCCAUUUGGUGGACGAUUUGAAGUGAGAGAAAUAAUGUUAUUCUCCAGAACCUCCAAAUGCAAGCUAUCUCUUCCGCUCAUUGUAUUGGACUUUUGGUGAAGGAGUGGGUCGAUUACUGUAGAGCUGAGUGAAGCUGGUGUUAAUCACACCCUUCGUUUUUGUUACUUUUUAUUUUUCUGUAUCAGGUUCUUCUUUUCUUGUUAUUUUUUCUACUGACUUUUCGCUUUCUCGAGGCCUUGGUUGCCUCACUCUAUAUAGCUUAAUUCACUUAAUGAAUAAAGCUGGUAGCAUGUUACCUUUCUUUCAAAAAAAAAAAUAAUUGAGGGUGACAAAAAAAAAAAAAAAAAGAGGAGCAUUAUCAAAAGGGAUAAGCCCACUAGCGACGUGUACAGGAAUCUAUACAACUAUAUUAAUCCCCAAUAUAUAAGAUGACGUGGCGUUUCCUCCUUAGUUUAGGAUAGGAAUCUAGACCUUUUUUUCUUUUCUUUCAAUUAUAUUUUUUUUUUUUGAACCGAACCAACAAGUUUUUUUUAUAUAUUUUGUUUUUUUUUAUUUUUUGAACGGAACUGGUCUAUUUUGUUAUAUAUUUUGUUUGAAUCCGAUUUUUUUCUCUUCUUUCAAUUAUUCUUUUUUGAACCUCUUCUUCUUUCUAUUUAUUUUUUUGAACUGAAUUGACAUAUUUUGUUAUAUAUUUUGUGUCGAAACUGAUUUUUUAUUGAACCGGCUCAUCUUUACUUUUUAUUUUUUUUUAAUCGAAUUGGUCUAAUUUGUUAUAUAUGUUUGAAUCCGGUUCUUCACUCCUUACUUGAACCGAACCGGAUCGAAACCGGUUUUUUAUUGAACCGGCUCAUCUCUACUUUUCUUUUUUUUUUGAAUCGAAUCGGUUUACUUUUAUAUAUAUACUAGUGAAAUACCCGCGCGAUGCUGCGGAUGUAAAAAUAUUUUUAUAAAAAAUUUUAUUUUUUUAGUAUUUUUAUAUAGUUUUAUAAGUCUAAUUAUUAAUUAAAUAAAAAUUAUAUAAAAAUAAUUUAAUAGUUAAAUUUAUUUAAAUGAAUAUCAUUAAAAUUAAGUAUAUUACGCAAGUAAAUUUAUACAAUAAUUUAUUUUAUAAAAAUUUAUAUGAAAGAAUUGGGAAUAAUUUAAAAAAAAACAUAAAUAGAAGGAAAAACAAAAUCGUAGAAGAAAUUAUUUAGUAAAAUUAAUUAUAUAAUACACAUUAACUAUAUUUCUAAAAUUUUAGUCCUGAAUUAGAUUCUGUAUUUUUUUAUACAGCAAUAUUUUUUUGUUAUAUUAUGUGAUUUAAAUUGCAUUCUAUCAGGUCGGAUUUUAUUAAACGAUUUACUACGCGUAUUAUUAAUAAAAUUAAUAAAUAUAAUAUAUUAUUAAUAUUAAAAAUUAUUUAAAUUAAUUUCAUAGAGUUUAGGGAUUUAAAAUUUUAACUUGAAGUUUAAAAUUUGAAAAUAAAUAUUAUAAGUUAAAAUUGAAAUUAGAAUUUAAAAUAUAAAAUAUAAAAUUUGAAUUUAAAACUUUUAAAUUUUUAAGUACAAAUUUAAAUCUGAUAUCAAAUUUAAAAAUUUAUAUUAUAUAUAUAUAUAUUAUAUUAUAUAUAUAUUAUAUAUUAUUUAUAUAUUUAUGAAGAGAGAGAGAGUAAAGGAGGGUUUGGGAGACACGUGUCACCAUUUGGCCCUCCAAACCUCUCUUAAUGAGUAGAAAAGAAAAAGAUAUAUAUUAUAUAAUAUAUAUAUAUAAUAUAUAUAUAUAUAAUUGAAGUUUUAUUUUUAUUUUUAUUUUUUUGUCUUUUGGUCUCAUAGCAAUAAAGUCAAUUCUCAAACGUUCCAUAGGGUCAGCUAUUCAACCGUUAUAUUAAAUAGAGAGAUUUAAAUAAACAAAAAUUAUAUAUAUAUAUAUAUGGUGGCAUUCCAAAGCUUCUACAACGUUUUAAAACUUUUGAUUAUGAAAGGUCUAUAAAUAAUCUCUCUUAUGUUGUGUAUUUCAUUUCAUAUGCACAUUUUUUUUUUUACUAUAAACUUAAUUAUUAUUAUUAUGCUCCAAUGGCUUCUACUCAUGCUAUUUUUCUCUCCUUUCUUCACUUCCUAUUGCUUCUCUCCUACCUCAAUUAUGGUACCAUUUUUUGUAAUUAAUUAAUUGCUCAAUAUUUGAAUCUCAAACUAUUUUUGCAUAAAAAAUUCUAACUUCAAUAUUUUUUAUAAAUUUAGAUAUUGAUCUUUUCCAACAAUAUUUUAUCAAUGGUACGUAGGUGGUAGAUGGUAGAUACUUUAUAUUUUCACUUUAUUAUUAUUAUGUACAGAUGUAUUUUUUUUUAAUGUUUUGUUAUUUUUUCUUAGAAAUCCAUCGGCGUUCCACUACGUUGAUUAAUCAACUGUUUGGUGUUGCCUUUCUUUGGAUCUCCGGUAAGUCCUAAUAUCUAUGUGCUUAUAUUUGCUUUGAUUUUAGAUAUGUUUGUGGUUACAUGAAAAAUAUUAAUGUAUUACAUACAAUUUUAUUAUUUUUCCUCAGGAAUCCAUCAGCGAUCUACUACGUUAAUUGAUCUCCUGUUUGGCGUUGCAUUCUUUCAGACCUCCGGUAAGUCGUAGUGCAUAUGUACUCAUAUUUACAUGAAAUUAAGUUAAAAAAAAAUUCAUAAAAAUGUGAUUCUCAGACCCUCUGUGUGUGCAUUUUUUUUAUUCAUGCUCAAUAUGCCUUUAGUUAGUCUUUAUUCUUGACUUUCUUUGUUGGCCAAUUUGCAUAAAAAAUCCACUUAUUUUGAGCUUUCGCAAAACCGGGCCACCUUUUUCGUUUUUGCAGAUUCGGUCCGCUUCUUCAGCAAACUGACCAAAAUACCCUUAUUACUUUUUCUCUUUCCUCUUUCUCUCUCUUCUUCGUUUCUCUCGUUUUUUUUUUUUCUCGUCGGCAGAACGGAGGCGGAGCGGAGGCAGAAACGGUCCGUCUCGCCUCUCACCCUCAUGCUCUCGCUCUCGCCCUUGCCCUCGUCCAUGCACCCCCCACCUUACUCGCCGCCGACCCCGCCAAGGCCGCGCCGCGACUUUUUUUUUUGUUUUUUUCUUUUCUUUUCUUCUCCGACUCUUCUCCACCGUCUCCAACGACGACGCCUCUCGCCCUUCCCCCCUUCUCAUCUCUCCCUCUCCCUCAUUUUCUACCGCCUCCGACGACGAUUUAUCUUCGCCGGCGCCAACGUCGACACCGUAGAGGUCACUGCGGCGCUACAGCCUCGAAGCAGGGGGUCCUUAGCGGCGUCGUCAUCGGCGCCGUAGCUGUUGGCAGAGAAGGUGACAAAAAAAAUUAUAGAAAAAACAGAAAAAAAAAAUAAAGAUAAAAAAUUAUAUAAAAAGAAGGAGGAAGAUGAAAUUGCAUCGUUAAUUACAAAAAAAAUUAUAAGUUGCACUAUUUAAGAUAAAAAUUAUACUCUUUGAACAAAAUUAUAUUAUUUUUUAUCUUAAACUGCAUCUUUUUAAGUGAUAUUUAUACUAUUUCUCCUCUUGUUGCAUUGUUUCUCCUCUUGUUGCACUAUUUCUCCUCUUGUUUUACACAGAAAUGUGCAACAAGAGGAAAACAAGGUGUCAACAAAGAGAAGAAACCAGUUAAAUUAUUCGUCUUAAUAGGGGGCAGUUUCUCUCCUCUAUUAGCAGUUGUUUCUCCUCUUGUUGCAGCUAAUUUCUGCCUAUGUUUAUACAGAAAUGGUGCAACAAGAAGAACAGUGCAAAAGGAGAAGAAACAGUAGAUAAUCUCUUAAAAUGAGGCAGCUAUCUUCUCUUUUCACUGUUUCUCACCUAUGUUACACAGAAAUGGUGCAAUAAGAGGAGAAAGCAGUAUAUAUACGUCUUAAUAACAGUGCAGUUUUUUUCUCUUUGUUGAGCACUGUUUUUUUUCCUCAUUUUUCACUAUUUUCUCUUUUCUUACACAAAAUGAUGCAACAAGAGGAAAACAGCUCAACAAGAGAAAAAACAGUAUAAAUAAUCUCUGCUAAAAAGGUACAGUUGUAAGAUAAAAAAUAGAUGUACAAGAGGAAAAUGGUGAACCAAAGAGAGAAACGAGUGGCAACAAGAGAAAACAAUAAUAAUACUCGUUAACAGGGUACAGUUUAAGAUAAAAAAUGUGUAUACAAGGAGAAAUGGUGGCAACAAGAGGAGAAACAGUGCAACUUUUGUUUAAAGAGUGUAACUUUCAUGUUUAAUGGAUGCAGUCUAAUCUUAAUAGUCAACUAUAAUUUUUUUGGCGAAGUUAAACGAUGCAAUUCAUGUUCAUCUUCAUUUUUAUAUGUAAUUAUUUAUCUUAUUUUUUUUUUCCUGUUUUCUAUAUAUUUUUUGUCACCCUCUCUGCGCAACAGCCACGUGGCCGGCAACGGACGCCGCUAAGGAACCUGCCGCGUCGGCGCCUGUAGCGCCGCAGUGAUCUCUUCUUAUCGGUGUUGCGACAGUCGGCCGGCGAAGAUGCAAUCGUCUCGAAAGCGGCCAACGAAUGAGGGAGCAGGGAGAGAUGAGAAGGGCGGACGGACGGAGCAGAGGCGUCGUCGUCGCGAAAUCGGUGGAGAAGAGUCGAGAAGAAAGAAAAAGAAAAGAAGCAAAAAAAAAACCAAAAGUAGCUGGGGCGCUCUUUGGCGGGGUUGGAGGCGAGGAAGGUGGGGGGUGCGUGGACGAGGGCAAAGGCGAGGGCCAGGGCGAGAGAAUGAGGGUGAGAGGCGAGACGGACCGUUUUCGCCUCCUCUCUGCCGGCGAGAAAACAAAAAAGAACGAGAGAAACGAAGAGGAGAGAGAAAGAUGAAAGAGAAAAAGUAAAAAGGGUAUUUUGGUCAGUUUGCUGAAAAAGAGGAUCGAAUCUGCAAAAACGAAAAAGGUGGCCCGAUUUUACAAAAGCCCAAAAUAAGUGAAUUUUUUAUGCAAAUUGGCCUUCUUUGUUUUUGUAUUUUUGUAUUUAUGAUUUUGCUUUAGUUAGAAUUUUAUUACUUUUAAAUAUUUUUCUUUAUCUUUAUUAUUUAAUAGAAUAUGUGUUUAAAGUAAAACACGUGUCAAAACUAAAACAAAAGCCCUGCGUGUAUUCUUCGACAGUAAAUGGCAUCAACUGUUAAUAUCGACAUCAACUUUCACUGUUUACUUCGUAAAAUCUGCGCAUAAUUUUCGUUACCUCCUCCCAGAUAUGAAAUUACUAUGGUCGCAGACGGACAGCUCUGUUCUUUUGUUGAUGUGGAGGUUCCUAGGGAUAGCAGAUUUAUGGAAAUAAUUAUAUGUUGCCAUAUUAAUUAUUUGUUUGAAAUUUAUAAUUAUUUUAAUUUUGCCCGAUUAUAGUGUUGUUGUUGCUAAUGAUUCAUCUAUAUCUACAACUUUUUUUUAUUUUUUAUGCUAUUUCUGUCCACAAAUCAACUUAAAUUAUUUAGUCUCAUUCAAAUCCAGCUUAUAACAAAAUAUAACUCAAUAGAUAAAUUAAAGCUUAACUAAUAAUCUAAUUUUAGCAAAUUGCACUCUAAAUUAAACUGUGCAGUAUCAUCUCUGAACAUAAAUUGAGUUUUUUGUUGAGUUCUAAACUUUUCUAUCUAAUUUUAUCAGGUCCUUUUCAUCUAAAACUCCAUUAUAUAUAUCAAACAAUAUAUAUCAUGUCACCUUCCCAAAAUCUUAACCUGGUAAACAAGAUCUAAGAAAUAAAAUACAAACAUGUUGUUCAUAAAAAGUUUUAAAAUAUUGCCUUAAGACAUUCAAUGCAUAGUUUAUAUUUUAGUUGAUAUAAAUAGAAAAUAACUUGAAUGUUUACUCUUAUUUGCAGUUUAAUUCAGUCUUCUGAUUCCGAUGAAGAAGUGAAGUGAAGAUUUUUUCAGCAAACUAUCAUAAGAUCUAAUUUCUAUAAUAUUUUAAGGAUAUGUGUAAUAGACUUAUUUUAUUUUGAACUUUAUAGUAUGAGUUUUAUACUAUGAAUUUUAGAAUUUGGUAAAAUUCUAAAGUUUCUAACCACAUUUAUUGAAGAAUAGUGCUGUUUUGGAGCCAUAUAACUUUCAUUCAAAAUUUUAUAAUUUAGAAAAAUUAGUAUUUAGAAUUCUAACUAUAAUUUUAUUUUUUAAAAUUAUAAAAUUUGGAUUUUAUUAUCUACCCACUGCGUCGCGCGGGUUUCUGCACUAGUUAUAUAUUAUUUCUCUUAAACUUUGCCACAUGGCAUCAUUCUCUUUUUUUGUUAAAUUAAAUGUGGGCUCUACCAAUUUCUCUUUCUUUGUUUGAAUCAAACCGGGUUGUUGGGUGCCACCUUGAACCGGCUCAAGUUCUCCAAAUAAUUAUAUAUUUUUUCUCUAUUUGUGCUUGAAUCGAACCGGAUCAACUUGCUUUAUUGGAUCGAAUCAAUUAUUCUAUAUAUUUUCAUCUUUGAACAAGAUUUCUUUUUUAAUUAUCUGAACUGAACAAAUAAUGCUGAACCGGGUCAACUUCAUUCGAACCAAACUAAUUGCUCUAUAGAAUAUAUAGAGUAAUUAUUGGUAAAAAAUUAUUGGUGGGAAUCUAUAGAAUAUAUUAUCUGUGUCACACCUCGGAUUACUCGUUUUCUCGGGCACGCUAACAGACCCGCCGUAUACAUAAAAAUUUUUUCUGCAUACGAAGAGAAAGUUGUACCUGUACCUGUAAUUAUACAACACUACAACCAGUAGUAUAGAGCUGCUAAAUAAAAACAUAUAUAAUAACAAGAGUCCAUUAUACAUACAAAGUAUCCAGUUAUAACAAAAACACUCGCUCCAGCAAGUUACAACAUCUAUAUGUAUAAUAACCAAAAACUACAACUACCUGCAGCUAGUAUGCUCUAUAUCAGCGAAAACUAGGAAGGGAUCUGUAACACACCGGACCUUUGCAAAUUGCGAGGUUCGAGUGUUUGAUCUGUGUUCCGAGCCAUUCCACAGUUUCUGGAGGGUUGUUGACAGAACUCCGACCUAUAGUUCGUACCCCGAGAAUUGAGAUUCGAAACUUAGCACCAAAAUCCUAAAGUUAGGAUUGUUGGUCUUACUCUCGAGUUAGCCUCAGCCAGGCUGUGUACCAGUACAGCCUUGAUGGUUGUACCGGUACAGGAUUUGUACCGAUACAGCCUUGAUGGUUGUACCGGUACACUUGAAAUUUUCUGCCAACCCGAGGCUCAGGUUGCUGUAGCGCAGGAUUUGUACCGGUACACUUUCCCGUGUACCGGUACACUUUGCUUUGCCAGCUGUUUUUGUUGAGGGGUGUUUUUGCAAUUAUUGCAACCCCUAUAUAGCUCACCCUAGCCCUUUAGAGAGUUCCUUUGAGCUCAAACCAGUGGAGAACAAGGUGAGUCCUUCUCCCUUUAAUUUCUUCUCCAUUUUUGAUGAUUGUAGUGGUUUGGUCUCUUUUGUCUUCUCCUCCUUGCUCUAUAUUGGUUCUCACCAUUGGAGAAGCUUUGAAGCUUUUGUUGGAGCUUGUUUGGAGGGAGAACUUCAACCCUAGCUAGCUUGGAGCUUGAUUUGGGACAUCUUGUGAGGUUUGUAACAUGUAUUUCUCUUUUCAUACAUGUUUUAGUGGAUUUUAAUAUUGUAACCCUAGAAUUGGAGAUUUAGGGUUUGAAAUGGAGAUUUUUGAUUUGAGGCUUCUUGAUCUUAAUUGAUUGACUUAGAACCUUCCUUUAGGUUGGUUUUGAAGGGUUCUUGCUCUCUUUGGGAGAUCAAGAGGGAUUUUCACCACUUUCGGUGAGUUUUCUUCACCUUUGCUUGAGUUGCUUAAUGUUUGAGCAAUUGAUUAUUCGUAACGUUCGUGUAUCACUCCUUUUGCUACCUUUAGGGUAUUAGGAGAGUAGUGGAUACCUUCGUCGGUGCAAACGAAGGGUUUCGUAAAGUCUCGGUGGGUUUGGCUUUAUUGGAACAGGAGAAAUCUUCUCCUAAGUGGUUAAAAGUUGUUGCUUCAUCGAAAUGCAUAUAUAUUCAUGCUAGACAGAAUUUUUAUGAAUUUUAGAAUACUUAACAUGCAUGCCUCAUGUAUCGUAAAAUUUGUACUCCACAUAGUAGAGCUAUAUGUGUAUUAGACAUGCAUGUGAAAAGUAUUCUAUAUUGCAAGUUGAAAAUAUUUCUCAUAUGAUGAAUAGAACUGAAAUUGUGUACUCUUGAACUCCUAACUCAUGUUUGGACAAGUGAACAAAAGUGCCAUAAAGGGGCACCGAACUAGUAAACUGUAAAACUGCAACAUAGAGACAAAGUAAUAGGCCAUUGUGACAUCGACUAUAUUCCAUGUUUUAGACAUGACGACAUAGUGAUAGGCCAUUGAGAGAUUUGCUACAUUCCAUAUUUUAGACAAGAUGACUUAAGACUUGAGACGGACUUUUACGCUUGCUUGCCAUUGUGCUCAUUCGCACAUACUUGUGAGGGUCCCUCCCCACAAACUGGCACUCCGGAGAUAGCCAUCGCGACAUAUGCUUGCCCGUGCGGGAUUGGGCGCCGAAAUGGGAUGCCGUGGGGGAGGCUCAUUCCUAGAGUGGGGAUGUUGACUACCACGGGGCCAUUAGGUACGGCGCAGGCCGGACUACCCACGGGUAGGUCCUACAGGAUUGGAACAUUGAUAACUUACUAUACUGAGUGGACAUUGACUAGAAUAGUAAACAAUGACAUUUCACUAUUUAGUUUGUGGACAUUAUGAUAGUUGCACUCCUGUACAUUCAUGUUACAGGAGCUUUAUUACUUAUGCAAAUUCUUGCUAAGUAGAGAUAUCAUGGUUUAGUAAGUAUUCAUGUUUAAAUAUUUGUCAUUUAUAUUGCUUAUUUAUUCUUACUUACCUGCUUUAUUUUCGGGCCUAGUGGAGUAUUGCACUGAAGUCAGAAAUUGCCCACUGGAAAUUAUUAUUUAAUAGUUCUCACGCCCUCUAUUUUAUGAGUUUUCUUUCAGAGCCUUCAGCACCGGUGGAGGCACGGGAUUGCAACAAGGGGAUCGCUUAGCUAGCUAGCGAUGAGCGUUUCUUUUGCUUAUUAGGUGGUUUACUCUCCUUUUGUUUGUAGUUGAGAGUGACAGAUUUUGUAUCCAUGUAUAGAGACCACCAUUGUUAUACUUUUAGCACUUCUGUUUUGGAUGUUCAUUGUACUACUUGUUGGUUACUCUUAGUGGAUUUGUUAGCUCUUUUAUUUACCUCUAUGUCUCUUAGAAUCUAGUUGUACUUUGCUCUAAUACUUCUAGUGUCACGUCCCGCUAUCGCCAAUUUGGUCGAUCGGGCCCGUACACAGAUGCCAAACGGACAGAACCUCCUCUGUCCGCCCAAGGCUCAACAAUAACGAGUACAUGUAUAAAGAAAUAAACAAUUUCCAGGAUAACAUUUCAAUAUACAUGGCUUGCACGAGAGCAAGCAACAAUCACAAGUGAUAGUAAGCUAGCUAUACUGAAAAUUCAAUGUAAUUUAAAACUUUUAAACUGAACUUUAUAUAACUAAAUAACUGAAACAUUUAGUUAUUUACAUGCUUUAUAAUACAUUCAUUUACAUGUCUCUGUAUAUCAAAAUGUCUCACAUGAACUCAAAAUGGUAUACCACUAAACACUGGUGUCUGCUAGUUAGGCUGCAGGGCUCUUGCCACAAUCCUCGGCCACAACGCUCGCACUGGAACCUGUAUGGUUAGUGGUGUGAGAACUACUAAAAGUUUCCAUUGGGUUCGGCCGUCGACCUCGCCGACUCACCCACUAGGUCUAUUCAGGCAUAUGUAGGCAAAAGAAGUAAACAGAUAGUAACCAACUAUAACAUGUAACUACUAUAAUGCAUGUACAAAGCUGAAAGAAGCAAUAUGUAAAAACUGUAAAUAUGCAUGCAUGCUUUUACUGAAUUUACCCAAUCUUUUGGUUAACCUUUUGGUUAACAAUAACUCACUGACACUAUCCCAAAUAUCGGGGAGACGCAACCUGCACCCGACGGGACUGUCAACUGGGGGAGACGCACCUCCUGAUCCAGUAAAGAUGACUACUCCGGAGCUCAUCGUUCAAGGAGGAGCGACCUUUCUUGAACAAAAACUAAUGUGAGUAUAAUUUGACCCUUCUUUUGACCAAAUUAACUAAAAAUUUCAGCUUUCGAGUUGCAAUGACAAUUGGAGGUCUUUAACCACUUCGAUUCCAUUCGUGCCUAUUCUCACACUUCCAAAACAUGUCAAUUGCUGUUCUCAAGCCUCUAAUUAAGUUUAGAAAUACUUAAUUUCCAUUUUUGCAUCAUUGUGAUCAAUUUGAUCACAAUUAGCUCGAGAUAAAUUUUCAAUGCAUUACAUCUAGAUAUCUUUAUUCUAUCGUUUUACUUGCCGUUUUAUUGUAGACGCCUUAUAUGUUAUAGACGUAUGGCGGGUCUGGACACGCACCGAGCGGGCUUCCGCUGGGUCCCGGGGGGUGACAGGAUCUAGCUCGCGACUCCUUUUCCACGAUCAGUCUCCGCCACAGCAGCAGCCGAAGAAGAAGCCUCAGCAAAAGAUCCACCACUGGGCGUGAGAACUACUACAAAAAGUAGUCCUCAGUGGGUACCGCUACCCACCUCAACGGCUCACCCACUAAGUCUACAGAUGGUAUACUCAAUGAUAGUAAGGAACUGGAAACAAUCUACAACUAUAUGCAACUAUACUAUCAUGAUCCAACACUAACUAUCUGUAGAAUAAUGCAAUCUCUAACACAAUCUCACUAGGGACUGUGAAUACACCCGUCCCGCCUGUCGAAGCUGUACAGCUACCUCCACGCUAAGCAGACGGUGGAAAGCAAGUCCAACAAGGACACAACGACACCAACGCAAACGCACAAAGUCCGACUCCGGAGUGACACUCGUGUGCGCUACUCAACCGAGUAUGAAAGCGUAUCUCUGUCAAGCUCAAUCAGGCUCUCACAGGCUAUAGUCAAAGUAAACAUGGUCUAACAGGCCUAACAACCCAACUCACGUGCCCUUGGCACAAUCUGAUGCAAAAACAGUAAUCUGGGUCCACCGUCAAUCCGGACGGCAUCCGACAGUCCGGAACAGCCUAAACACUGUUGUAAAAAUAAGCUCGGCACCUCAACACGAGCGUAAAAAUAUUCUACAAUAUCCUGGGUAUCCACCGCCCACAAGCUGCGACGAUACAAACAAAUUACGGCUUUUAGAGCUAAAUCUGGUAGUUUUAACAUAUGAUAGUGUAGAAUCGUCGGUUUUCUCCUAAGUCAUUUUCAAGUCCAACAUAUAUAUUUAACUAACAUUUAAGCUCCAAAUUGAGAUUCCAUUAAGCAUGCAAAUCCACUAAUUUGAGCUGACUAACAUGAUACACAAUAAUCAACAUACAUGCCGACAACUACAACUUAGAAGAAAAUUCGGUAAUUCUGGUAGCUUAACAUUCAACCCACCUCUAGCCCAAUUCCACGGCAACGAGGAGGUCACGAAGUUGUUGGAGGCUUCAGUCGAAAUCACUCACAACUAGCAACUAUACUACUCGAAGGAUCUAAACAUUAAAACACCAAAAAUCCCAAAAUCCCAUUACUGCACACAAUUUCAGCAUUUAAGCUUAAAUUCACCUCAAUCACAAUAUCAACUUCACCUUCCAAUCUUCAGAUCAGGUGAGAAAAGGUCCCAAAUCCUGUGAACUAUGAUGGAAUACCACCCUGUGGUCCAAAACCCAGCUUUCUCCAAAGAUUGCACCAAGAAAACCCACAAAUUUACAGAUUCAGUCCAAAAACACCAGCAGCACAGUGAAAAGCCAAAUUGACCAAGCUAACCUCAACCAAAUUCUGUCGAAAUGGGCUCCACGAAUUCCUCUUGAAGUCCAGAAUCAACCAAACUAAGUUUCGUGGCAAACGGAGCUUCCUACGUCGCACACGAACCAAAACGCCAAAGGUCGCUGCUGGAAAAUUGCAAGAACAGCAAUCCUCAAGGUGAAAAGUGGGCCAAUUGGGACAAUUUUAGGAAAUUUGAGGGUUAUAAGGCAAUUUUGAGCUUUCGUGUGAAAGAGAGAUGAAAGAGCUUCUCGGGGGUCAACUACCAAUGUGAGAGUGUAAAAAUUUAAAAGCGUCAAGUAAGACGAGGGGAUUAGACUAUUAUAUGUUGAAAAAUGGAGAUUAAAGGUUCUAUACUCCUUAGGAAUUAUAAAGAUUUCUAAUUAAUUACGCCUAUUCACAUUUAGACAACCUCCGAUUAAGCUGGUCAAUUAUGAUAAUUAACAAAACAAAAUGCAUUUCUUUUAUUACUUUUGUACAUCGGUGUACAAAAAUUAAUACAACUGAAAAAGAGGAAAGGCGACAAUUAUUAUCUCUCUACUUCUCUCCUCUUCAAGGUAUUUCUCCGAACAAUGUCGGCCAUGCAUCAUACAUAAGAUUUCUUUGGUAUUUCAUCGAGCAUUUGACAUGCACACAAGUAAUGUGCAAAUUGCCUUUGACAUUUCAUCGAACACUUGGCACGCGUACAUGAACAAUGCAGCGUGCUCAAGUUUCCUUUGACAUUCUGUUAUAUGCACACCAUUUUUUUUGCAUUUCAUCAAACGCUUAGCACGCGUACAUGAACAAUGCGCUAUGCACAAAUUCUUUUUGGCAUUCUCUCUAACAUUUGGCAUGUGCACAUAAAUUAUCCAUCAUGCACAGCUUGUUUUUGACAAAAGCCAAUUCAAAAAUAGCUGCAAUCAAUAAUUUGAUUGGAGCUUUCCGUCGACGACUAAGCGUCAAACGGAUAGUCGUCGUUGUUGUCAUCGUCUACCGCUGACGGCUAAGCGUCAAGCAGAUGAUCCUCGUCGUCAUUGUCGUCGUCUACCGCUAACGGCUAAGCGUCAAGCAGAUCGUCGUCGUCGUUGUUGUCGUCUACCGCUGACGGUUAAGCAUCAAGCGGAUGAUCAUCGUCGCCGUUAUCAUCGUUGUUGUCGUCUACCGCCGACGACUAAGCGUCAAGCAGAUCGUCGUCGUCGUUGUCGUCGUUUACCGCUGACGGCUAAGCGUCAAGCGGAUGGUCAUCGUUGUCGUUGUCGUCGCCACCUUUAUCGCCGACGGCGAAGCAUCAAGCGGAUCGUUGUCGUUGUCGUCGCCGCCUUUACCACCGACGGCAAAGCGUCAAGAGGAUCGUUGUCGUCGUUGUCGUCGCCGCCUUUUACCGCCGACGGCGAAGCGUCAAGCGAAUGAUCGUCGUCGUUGUCGUCGCCACCUUUACCGUCGAUGGCGAAGCGUCAAGUGGAUCAUUGUCGUUGUCGUCGCCGCCUUUACCGCCGACGGCGAAGCGUCAAGAGGAUCGUCGUCGUCAUUGUCGUCGACGCAGCACCAGCAGGCGGAUGGCCACCUCCUUGGUCGAUGAUGACGCCACACUAGCAAAAGGGAACGUGCACCACUCCGGGAUCAACGACGACGGGGCAACGACAGUCAACAAAGGUGUAGGAAUGGCGACGAGCGGUCGUCUUUUAUUGGUUGAUGAUGACCCGGCGUAGUAGAGGUUGAUGACGGCAUAUAUAGCCCGAUGUGCAUAGCAAGCUCGAUGUAUGGAGUGCCUUGACUAGGAGAGAAUAGGGAGAAAAAAAAAUGAAAGUGAGAAAAUCUAAACCCACCUUUCUAUUUGGUUGUUCUUCUUUUUUCAAGUUUCUUUUCUCUUUUUUUUUGUGAGUAGAAUCCUCCCUUUUUUCUUUGUUCACUUCUCUUUAUAUAGAUAGAGGGUGGUGGAGGUUUACGGUGAAGAGAAAAGUAAAUGGUGGAGAAGUGGAGGGAAUGGUGGAGAAAGUGGUAGAAAUGGAGGGAAUGGUAGAGAAAGUGGUAGAGAAGUGAAGGGAAUAGUGGAAUGAUGGAGAAGUGGGAGAAAAUGGUGGAGAAGUGUGGAGAAGUGGGGUAAAUGGUGGAGAAAGUGGAAGGAGUGAUGAAGAAGUGGUGGAAAUGGUGAGAAGUGGAGGGAAUGGUGAAGAAAGUAGUAGAAAUAGAGGGAAUGGUAGGAGAUAGUGGAGGAGUGAAUUUAGAGAAGUGAUUUUUUUUUUUUUUAACAACCAGCUAUUUAUAGGGAGGAGAAGGGUGAAAUAGGCCCAAGGAACAAGAAUUGCUAACCUGCUGCCCCUACAGAAACGGCCAGUUUUGGGCGCCCGAAACCAUGUUCUGGGCACCCGAAACCUCUAGUCUACACAAAUCUUCCUCUUCAGUUCCUCCGCCCGCGAUCAGCUGUGCCCCUAACGUGGUCCGGUGGAACUCACCUACCACAAACACGUGUCAGCACACUCGAUACUCCCAAGGUGAACUUUCGGAUCCACAUCUGGGCGCCCGGAACAUAGGAUCCGAAUUGACUUCCAGUUCUGCUCAGACCAGCACUCAAAUUCUGGGCGACCCAAAUCCAGUUCUGGGCCCCCCAAAUCUGACAAAACUCUAGUUUUGCUUAUUUGAAUGCGCUGAAUCCAUUUCUGCAUCCAUUUCGUGCAGAAAUAACUCCGACUCAGUCCGACACUCUCCAGAUGUAUCGACCAGUCAUUAAUACUGUAGUCAAUCCUAUCCAAACUUCCGGAACACUACAAUCUAACAGUUCGAUCACAUCAAGAAAAUACGUUGUGAGAGAGCCACGUUGCUAAGUCAUAAACUAAUAAAAGUUUGCCACAUAUCCAAUAAAAAUUUUGGAUGCAUCCAUUACGCUGUAAACCGAUUUUAAAAUGUACAUCGAAGAUAAAUUUUUAUAAUACAAUAAAUUAUUUAGAUAUUUUAUAGUAUAUAUAUUAUAUUAUCAUAUUUUAUUUUACAAUAUUUAAUACUCAAAUAGGAACUCAAGUUAAAUGAUUCGCCAAGCAAUCAACAUCCAAACAUGUUUAAUAAAUACAUUUGAGCAACUAAUCAGUUAUUUUUUGCUCAAACUAUUUCAAAAAGCUAAUGAAAGUUAUUAUCUCCAUCAUAAAUUGUAAGCCAAAAUAACCAAAAUUUUGAACUGCUUAAAUUUAGAUGAUUCCGAUGUAUUUAACUCUCAUUCAAAAUAUAUAAAUUUAUGGAGCCUAUUUCAAAUACCUAUAGAAGAAAAGGUGUGUUUACUUUCGUGUCAUUUUCAGUACGUGAUAGAACAUUUAGAUCGGUUAUUAACACUUUUAUACUUGAUAUAGGCUAUUUGAACUUUUUAGGGUCCGAACUUUAUAAUUUUAUAAUUUGUAUACUAUUCUAAUGAUCACAACACUGACUAAUUUUUAGGCAAAUAGAGAAUAAAUUCGAGACUGCUUGAUCACUUAGUAAUAAUGUUGAAAAAUUAUAAAAUUUAAAUUUUAUAAAGUUCACAUAGUCUACAUUAUGUUUAAUCUAAACGUUUGAUCACUGGGCAAACAAUAUUUAAAAAUCUUGAAGUUCACGUUUUAUCAAGUUUUCAUAAUCUAGGUCAUGUUUAAUCAUACCGAUCGUCGAUUUAGAAACCCCUUUCAUCGAAAAAAAAAAAGCCUAUAUCUUCAUAUUUGUGAGUCAAAGUGCCCAAGCGUAUAUACCAUUUCGAAGGUGCGGAUAUGGAUGAACCGCAAGAUAAUUUUGUGGUUGAUUUAGACAAAGGCGGUGGAUUAAUGUGCUUAAUUGCAUUGAAGUCGAAGUGGAGUGAUGUUUCUAUAAUAGGGAACAAACAGCAGCAAAUAUGUGUUAGUAUUUUGAUUUAAAACAAGUGAUUUAAAACUUCUUUAUAUGCUCAUAUGUUUUAAAACUUCAAUUUGGCCUUUGGACUUUGUGGGCAGCCCACUGUCAAUGGGCCUUGCCUGGGAGCCCAAGCUUUGGUCUCUUUUCAUGUGGUGUUUAGUCCCACAUUGGAAAGAGACCCUCACUUGCUCUGGUUUAUAUUCUAUUUUAUUCUCAUUGUUAUUAUUUGGGAAGUGAUGAGAGUGGAGCUCUCGUCUAAAUACACGGCACGAGCACGAGCCGGGCCGGGCGGCGGCGUGCGUGAACCCGGUUCAUUUUAUUUUUGUUACACUUUUCUUUUAUUUUAUUUUUUGGCCUUACCUGGAUUUGGUCCAGUCGAAGGGUCGCACCUCGGGACUCAACCAGCCCCAACGGUCUACCUCGGGAAGGUGGUCUUCCCGUUGGAACCCUUCUCUCCUAUUUACUAGGGUGAGUGGCGGGGUUAGGACAGUAGUGACAUACAGAAACCCUAGCCAGAGCUUCUUCCCUUUUCUCUCUUCUCCUUCUUCUUCACUGUUUUGCUGGAUCUCUGAAAAGCUGUGACGGUUCGUUCUUGCGCCACCCUGAAGCCGUGCCGACGGGGUGGACGAAGGUCGUUGUAUCGCUAGGAGUGAUUGCCGGCGCCUCGUACGUGGAGGGGCAAUCUUGCUUCUAGGACAGUGCAAUCGCACGCCUCGACUCACAGGCUCCAUCUAAUCCUUUAUUCUCUAUAGUAUUUAUUUAUUUCAACGUUUCUAAAAACAGUGGCUAAGUUGUUUUCAAACAAAAUUGUUUAUACAAAUUUUUGACUAAAGAUUUCGAAAGAGAACUAAUUUUUUCCAACAAUAUGUUGAUCGAAUAUGAUUUGGAGAAGAACGAGUUGGGUUAAUUUGCUCAUGCUCAAUGUGAUCAGCUGUGACUUAGUUUGGUUCUAAAUGAGCAUUAGCUUUAAUUUGAUACUAAUAUAUGUAGAGGUGAUUUAUGUUGUAUUAGUGAAGGGAAAAGAUUAUAACUUUUAAGUGAUCCCGUACAUUUGGGAUUAUCUUUUAGAGUGGAGUAAUGCUUCAUGCACGGUCCUAAAAAAGUUUGUUAUUGUCAAUGUGUUAUGUGUAGAAAUAAAUAAAAUAAAUUUCUUUCAUAAUUUGUCACUAUACUUGCACACUUUACUUGGAAUUCUAAACAGAAAUUAAAAUGGUAUAUAUUCUGAACGUAUUACUUGGGACUAUAGUUUGAUGAAAUAACCUAUACCUAUAGUCUGAACCAAAUGCUCGACUUUGUUCGGAUUAAAAAGAAAAAAGAAUAAAAUUACAUUUGACUUUUUUUUUCCUUUCUUCAAAAAAAAGAGAGAAAAGAAAGAAAUUACAAAAAAAAAAUCCUCUUGUUUCAAAAAAAAAAAAAAAAAAAGGAAAGGAAAAAAGAAUUACCAAAAAAAAGGAAAGAAAAAGCGUUACCAAGAAAAAAAAAGAAUAAAAAUAAAAAAAAAAGAAGAAAGGAAAGAAGAGAGAAAAGGAAAAAACAAAAAUAAAAGAAGGAAAGAAAAAAAAGUCUUUGUUAUUUCAAAAUAAAUAAAAAAAAGAAGAAAUCUAAAAGUAGUAUUAAAUACUUAAAUUUCUUGUAAGAUGUAAGGAAUAAUAAAAUUUCCUUUUUAGAGAUUUAUUUUGAAUUUUUUAAAAAUUAAUAAUGAUUUUGGAUCCCUAUAAAUUGGAUUCAAAAUUAAGUAGCAAAAAAAAUUUUGAUUUUUGCAAAGAAUAAAAGAGAGCUUGAGAGAAACAGUUAAAAAAAAAAAAAAAAAAAAAGAAGGACAAAAAGAAAAGAAAGGUUAAAAAAAAAAAAAAUUUCUCUCUGCCCUCCUCUGUAGGCUGGCAGCAACAAAAAGGAGGGGUGUGCUGUGAGCACACCCCCCGUACACACAAGAAGAAAAAAAAAACAAGAGAAAGGCUUAGCUCUUUCAUUUUUGUGGGGGCGCGACAACGACAACUUCGACGACGGCACGACAACGACGAUUUCAACAAAACGCAAAGAGACCAUAGGGCCUCUUUUCUUUUCUUUUUUUUUCUAUGAUGGUGAUGGAUUUAUUUAUACGUGUAAACGGUGUAGUCGCGAUUUUUAUAUCGGUUUGACCAACACAACCGUUUUCGUCAUAGAUUGAUCCGAUCAAAUUCGGCAUUGAAUUGUUACUACAUCAUGCGCGCAAAUUUAUUAAGCCUGUCUCCUCAACAGACGUAAGCAAUCGAGCUUUGGAACUUCUACUGACCAAAAUGCAGCAUUACUGUUAUUGUUUUUUUUUUGGAAAAAUGAUUAAGUACUAAAGGAAAAUUAAUAAAGAUAAAUGCAGGAUUUUUGACGACCUAUUCCAAUUAGUGAAUUUCACAUCAAUCAGUUACUGGAAGAAUCAAUGUAAUUGUUUUAUUAUCUGAGGUGGUGACAUAUCAACUUAUUACAUAAUUAAAUACUCGACAGAGCUAUAUUUCUUGAUUCGUAUGAAAUACAGGACCUCCAAUUGAAACAAUCUCACUCAUUAAUUAAGAUCACAGGUGAUCGCACCGGGCAGGAGCAAAAGAUAACUUCUGAUUGUCCAGAUCGUAGACUACGUGCAUAUUCUGCUGCUGAAAAUUACCAAUUAUAGAGCUUUCGCUGCCGGAAUCUAACAUCGCCAAACACAUUAAACCGACGCUAGAAUCCUGGAACAUGUAGUUGUCGCGCGGCAGGUCCAUAUCUGCGCCUUCGAAGUGGAAUAUCAGCUUGGGCACGUCCACCUUUGCUGACGGAGACGACGGCAGCGAGAAGCAAAGGUCGAAGCCCUCCGCGGUGCCGUUAGCCACAGGCAGCUUCACCUGCGACAAGAAGGCGCUCCUCACGUGCUUGUAAGCAACCGUGGUUAGCUGCGUGAUGGACGUGCCGGAGUCUAUGAUCACUCCGGCCGUCCCGUUUUGCUGCAGCGCGAAUGCCGACUUCGGUAUCGGGAGACGGGUCGUGCCUACCGUUAUACCGUCGAGAGAGAGGUAAUAGAAGGUUGGCUGUGAAGGAUUCAGAACGAACGGAGUCGACCGGACGGUAGUAGCAUUGCCGUUUAAACCGGCAGCCGACCCUAACAUGAGUGCGCUGCUCUUCGAGUCGUCGUCGUAGGAAAUGAAGCAGUAAGAGAACUUUCCGACUCCUAACUGAGAGAUGAGAGACAAGGGCCCGCGACCGAAGCCGGCAAUCCCG